rnacentral:lncRNA from 1 species
UCAGAGAAAGGAAGGCCCAAGAGACUGACCCCCGCAGAACCUUCGAGACUGGGUCGAGCUCGAGGUCUGUUCCUGAAUUCGCCCCCUUCCGCACCACUUUUGAUUAUCCGGGCUUGUUCGCCGAUAAAGGGGUGCGAACGAAGGCUGCCCAGCUGCUUCUAACUAAGCCUGGGGACUGGAUACGCGAAGAGCUCGGCAAAGCUAUAUCUGCUGUAAGUGACUCACAAUCG